ensembl:snRNA U6 U6 spliceosomal RNA
AUUUUUGCGCUCACUUUGGCAACAAUACAUGCUAAGAUAGGAAUGAUAUAGAGACUAGCAUGGGUCAUGUGUGAGAAUGACAGGCAAAUUCUUGAAGCAUUCCUUUUCUUG